AAAUUGAAGAGUUUGAUCAUGGCUCAGAUUGAACGCUGGCGGCAGGCCUAACACAUGCAAGUCGAACGGUAACAGGAAGAAGCUUGCUUCUUUGCUGACGAGUGGCGGACGGGUGAGUAAUGUCUGGGAAACUGCCUGAUGGAGGGGGGAUAACUACUGGAAACGGUAGCUAAUACCGCAUAACGUCGCAAGACCAAAGAGGGGGACCUUCGGGCCUCUUGCCAUCGGAUGUGCCCAGAUGGGAUUAGCUAGUAGGUGGGGUAACGGCUCACCUAGGCGACGAUCCCCUAGCUGGUCUGAGAGGAUGACCAGCCACACUGGAACUGAGACACGGUCCAGACUCCUACGGGAGGCAGCAGUGGGGAAUAUUGCACAAUGGGCGCAAGCCUGAUGCAGCCAUGCCGCGUGUAUGAAGAAGGCCUUCGGGUUGUAAAGUACUUUCAGCGGGGAGGAAGGGAGUAAAGUUAAUACCUUUGCUCAUUGACGUUACCCGCAGAAGAAGCACCGGCUAACUCCGUGCCAGCAGCCGCGGUAAUACGGAGGGUGCAAGCGUUAAUCGGAAUUACUGGGCGUAAAGCGCACGCAGGCGGUUUGUUAAGUCAGAUGUGAAAUCCCCGGGCUCAACCUGGGAACUGCAUCUGAUACUGGCAAGCUUGAGUCUCGUAGAGGGGGGUAGAAUUCCGAGGUGUAGCGGUGAAAUGCGUAGAGAUCUGGAGGAAUACCGGUGGCGAAGGCGGCCCCCUGGACGAAGACUGACGCUCAGGUGCGAAAGCGUGGGGAGCAAACAGGAUUAGAUACCCUCGGUAGUCCACGCCGUAAACGAUGUCGACUUGGAGGUUGUGCCCUUGAGGCGUGGCUUCCGGAGCUAACGCGUUAAGUCGACCGCCUGGGGAGUACGGCCGCAAGGUUAAAACUCAAAUGAAUUGACGGGGGCCCGCACAAGCGGUGGAGCAUGUGGUUUAAUUCGAUGCAACGCGAAGAACCUUACCUGGUCUUGACAUCCACGGAAGUUUUCAGAGAUGAGAAUGUGCCUUCGGGAACCGUGAGACAGGUGCUGCAUGGCUGUCGUCAGCUCGUGUUGUGAAAUGUUGGGUUAAGUCCCGCAACGAGCGCAACCCUUAUCCUUUGUUGCCAGCGGUCCGGCCGGGAACUCAAAGGAGACUGCCAGUGAUAAACUGGAGGAAGGUGGGGAUGACGUCAAGUCAUCAUGGCCCUUACGACCAGGGCUACACACGUGCUACAAUGGCGCAUACAAAGAGAAGCGACCUCGCGAGAGCAAGCGGACCUCAUAAAGUGCGUCGUAGUCCGGAUUGGAGUCUGCAACUCGACUCCAUGAAGUCGGAAUCGCUAGUAAUCGUGGAUCAGAAUGCCACGGUGAAUACGUUCCCGGGCCUUGUACACACCGCCCGUCACACCAUGGGAGUGAGUUGCAAAAGAAGUAGGUAGCUUAACCUUCGGGAGGGCGCUUACCACUUUGUGAUUCAUGACUGGGGUGAAGUCGUAACAAGGUAACCGUAGGGGAACCUGCGGUUGGAUCACCUCCUUA
rnacentral:rRNA from 1 species